rnacentral:rRNA from 1 species
GAUGAACGCUGGCGGCGUGCCUAAUACAUGCAAGUCGAGCGAACGGACGAGAAGCUUGCUUCUCUGAUGUUAGCGGCGGACGGGUGAGUAACACGUGGAUAACCUACCUAUAAGACUGGGAUAACUUCGGGAAACCGGAGCUAAUACCGGAUAAUAUUUUGAACCGCAUGGUUCAAAAGUGAAAGACGGUCUUGCUGUCACUUAUAGAUGGAUCCGCGCUGCUUUAGCUAGUUGGUAAGGUAACGGCUUACCAAGGCAACGAUGCAUAGCCGACCUGAGAGGGUUAGCGGCCACACUGGAACUGAGACACGGUCCAGACUCCUACGGGAGGCAGCAGUAGGGAAUCUUCCGCAAUGGGCGAAAGCCUGACGGGGCAACGCCGCGUGAGUGAUGAAGGUCUUCGGAUCGUAAAACUCUGUUAUUAGGGAAGAACAUAUGUGUAAGUAACUGUGCACAUCUUGACGGUACCUAAUCAGAAAGCCACGGCUAACUACGUG